CCAACGUGCAGGGGGACAUGG
rnacentral:miRNA from 1 species